AUUGGUCAGUGGCUGAGAGCUGUAGCCAAUCAGCGCGGUUUUGGGGUCCGCAUUGCGGACCAAAGGUCCGAGUGGGCAUCUGGCGGGCACAGUGGCCUGCAGAGACUCGAGGUGUGGAGGGCAGAGCCAGGGAGGAAUGAGCAUGUCUUGGGACCCCACAGCCAGGCGCCAUCACCGCCUAUCGCUGCUCCUGGUGCUCAUGCUGCUGUCAGGAACCGGGGCUCUGUGUCCUGUGGAGCUCUUUCCUUACGGGGAGUUGUGGGGAGAUCGGCUGCCACGGGAGGGCGACGUUGAAAGCUCCCCGGCUGUGAAGCCAGCAAUACCUCUAUGCUUCUAUGGUGUCCAGUUCAGCACCCUCUAUGUGGGCACCAAUGGCAUCAUCUCCACCCAGGACUUACCCAGGGAGACUUAACAUGUCAUUGAUGAUUUUCCUACUGACUUCCCAUCCAUCGCCCCAUUCCUGGCUGACAUCCAGUGGAGUCACAGCAGUGGCCGGAUCCUGUAUGGGGGACACCUCCUGGACUGUGCUGAGUCUGGCUGCUUGCUACCUGUGCACAGGCUUCCCGCUGACCGGGUCCAGCUUCCCCACUACCAACUUCUUCCUGGCCACCUGGGAGCAAGUGGACUCCUAGGAGGAGGACAGGCUUGGGGCUGCAUGGUCUGGAGAGGUAAGGGAGGGGUACCCUGCAGCUGAAUAAACAGAAGGGUUGGGCUUGAACAGGAAACUAAGACAUUGGCUAAGAGGCAUUCCCUUGAUUCCGCUCCUCAACACUAAGAAAAUUGCUUAGUAAAAUUAGGGACUAAGGUGCAGAUACCAAAGACUCUGAGGGAACUUAAGGCACUUUACAGGUUUUUUUUUUUUCUUUUUUCUGGAAUCACCUAUAAGUACACAAAUAUUUCUAAUGAUAUGUUCAUCAAAAAAUUAAAAAUUUGGGAAAUUUAAAAAGGAACAACUUUUUUUUUUUUUUUUGUAUGAGCUGGGUGUGGUGUCACUCACCUUCAAUCCCAGCAGAGUCAGAGAGGCAAACAGAUCUCUGUGAGUUCUAGGCGAGCCUGGUCUACAAAGUGAGUUCCAGGAAAAAAUACAGAGGAACCCUGUCUGGAGAAACCAAAAAUAACCCGUAGGUUCGUGUGUACAUUUCUAGUUAUUUCUUUAAUAUGUUGCCGUUGACAACAGUGGGUAAACAGUGCCCAUAUUACUGUUUCACUUGCUAGUUCUGCUGUUUAGUAUGCUCUGGUCAGUGUAUUUCUGUAACAUUUAUUACAACCGUAUAAAAUCUCACCCUUCCUAGUGGUCAUUAACGUUGCUCCCGUGACGUUUUUUACUAUAAUUAAUACUAUAAAAUGAUUUAUAAUGUUUUUAUUUUAUUCGUGUGUGUGUGUGUGUGUGUGUGUGUGUGUCUUUCUCUGUGUCUGCUUGUUGGUAGGGCCAGAAGAGGGCUUGGGCCCCCUGAAGCUGGAGUUGUUACAUACAGGCAGUUAUGAACUGCUUGACUGACAAUGGAUACAGAGAUUUGAGCUAGCAUGCUGAAAGGACUACUAGGUGCUAAGCCACCUCUUCAAAGCCAACACUUUUUAAAGUGUCAAAACACUACACAGCCUUAGCUGACAUCACAGGAGAGUGAGCAAGCAUGCCAUGAACUUCUUAGUAAGUUCCUUGUAGCUUUCUCCACAUUGCCUUUGUAACAGUUUACAUACUUCUGUCUGCAGGAGCCUGCUUUGCAGUCUCCCUGGAGAAAACACCAACUCUGCUCUGGCUUUGGUCUUGGCAACAUGUGAAGCGGGUAUGGGUGGGUGAGGGUAAAUGGCCUCAUUCCUCCUGUAGGUAGAGACAGAGUCCUCUUGUGAAAUUCCACCUGGGUGUAAAAUGCCAUAGACCUGGAGCAAAUCUGUGUUUGCUUUAACUCCCCUAGUGCCUCUGAGCUACAGAAGUGAUGUCUUCCCUAAGAGCUUGCCCAUUGUUCCUGUGUUUGUUGUGUGAACUUAAAGGAAGAGACAUGUUUUCCUAAAACCUGCACCAGCAGAGAUGGAGAAAUUGUUUUAAGUUUCAGUUUCUUACUUGACAGGUUAACAUCCAGUUUUGUUUACUGACUAGCCUUGUAAUGCCUUGGGUUUGACAUCUCAACUACAGUUCAACAGAAUACCUUCAACUCAAACACUGCCACCUUGGCACAGGCCAGCCAGCUAGAGGGCUAGAGAAGACAGUCCCCACUGUUAAGUUUCAUUCGCUCAGUCAUUCAUUCAUACAUUCUUUUUAAAACGUUUAUCUAAUAUCAUGUAUAACAAGCUUAUAGUGGAAAAAAAUAAACUUUUCUAAUACAAGCAACUAGGUCGCCAAUUCUAAUAUUUAUAUUUUCUUACAGUCUUUUUAAAACUUGUUAAUUUAUGAGUGAGAGUGUGGGUGUGCAUGCACAUGUGUGCAUAUGCAUGUGUGAACGAGAGGUCAACUUUAAAUGUCUUUGCUUGGGAGACAUCUUGUCUUUCUACUCAGGGUCUCUCUGGGACCUGGGGCUCCCCAGUUAGGCUAGGCUUGCUGGCCAGUGAGCCCUAGGGAUCUGCUUGUUUUUCUCUCCAGGGCAGAGAUUACAAGUGUGCUGCCACGACCUGCUUUUGAUCUGGGUGCUGCCAUUCAAAUCAGGACUUCAUGCACACACAGCAAGCACUUCAUAGGCUGUGCUGCCUUCCCAGCUUCUCCUGUAAUGUUAAAAAAAAUCUAUGUCACAGGGUUAGGGUUAGGAGCUAGGGUUUAGGGUUAGGAGUAAGGGGUUAGGGUUAGGGUUAUAUAUGCAGAGAGUCAUAUAUAUCAUAUAUAAUCUCUAUCUGAACAUAGUUGAUAUUUGUUAAUUCAGAAACUACUUUUACACAUUUUCCUUAUAUCGGCACUGAAAUAGACAUAGACUCUAAGCGGAAUGCUCUUACUCUGAAUGGCCUCUCUUACAUUUAGUAGGAACACUAUUGAUAACCUUUUCUUGUGGUAAUAUGGUAGACUCUCCAGCUAGAGCUUCCUCCUAACCCAUCUUGAUUCAUGGAUUCCAUUAGCGUAGGUUUCAGUGAGCAAGCAAUUUCUCCAGGAUAGAAGGCAGAGCAUGUAUCAGCCUGUGCGCUGGAGGUUAAUGUACUAGGGGCAUGGCAGGCACAGUGUCUUUCAGAAGAGCAGGGUUCUGGGAUCUGAUGCAGGAGCACUCAAGGGUAGAGACGUUGUCCCCUCUGAGGACUGCAAUUGGUUCCUGGAAGUAGGCAGCCUUGAACGAUUUGAAGUGGGGAGUCUGACGUUUAUGUUGUUCCUUUUGUUUUGCUUUUGAUCCCCCCACCCCCCAUGCAUCUCAGGUUGGCCUCAAACCUCAUAAUGGAGGAUGAUCUUGAAUCUCUGAUCCUUUUGACCUGACUGACCUGUGCUGAGAUAGUGGGUGUGCAGCAUCACACCCUACCCAUUUGUUGGGAACUGAACCGAGAGUGCAGGCUGACCAGGCACUCUACUAGCUGAGCCACAGUCUUUCUGGUGACCUUAGUUAGUAAGGGUCGAAGGGCAAACUACUUAGACAACUGUUAAAUAGUCUGUUUGUUCACACCAUCAGACUUCUCUUUAAAUUUUUAAAAUUGUGUUUAUGCACAUGGGUCAUAUGCCUACACACGGUUGCAUGCAGUGCCCAUGGAAUACCCUGGACCGGAGUACCUGCAGUUGUGAGCUGUCAUGUGAGUGCUGGGAAAUGAACAUGGGUCCUCUGGAAGAAGAGCCAAUGAUCUCAACCAGGGAGCCAUCCCUCUGCCCCCCUCUCCUUACCUUCUUGCAGGAGUGUUUUAUACUGUCUUCUCGACACAGUCCCACAGGAUAAGUACAGUAAUAACUGUUUAUAUCACAGAAGAGAAAAUAACUUCCAAAUCUGACUUAAGUGAGGCAAAGUCACCUUAGAAGACAUACUUUUCCCCUUUCUUACACUUUUCAUGCAAGACACAUUUUCUUUUUUUUUUUAAUUAACUUGAGUAUUUCUUAUAUACAUUUCGAGUGUUAUUCCCUUUCCCGGUUUCCAGGCAAACAUCCCCUCCCCCCUCCUCUUCUUUAUGGGUGUUCCCCUCCUCACUCUCCCCCCAUUGACGCCCUCCCCCCAACAAUCUAGUUCACUGGGGGUUCAGUCUUAGCAGGACCCAGGGCUUCUCCUUCCACUGGUGCUCUUACUAGGAUAUUCAUUGCUACAAGACCCAUUUUCUGUACACGAAUCAUAUAAGUAGUUACAGUAACAAUCGCUGCACUUUUUCUGAAGACAUCUAAUAAAUAAGGUUAGCGUUUUAGUGUUCAUUGUGGCUUUGGUGCUAGGACAGUUCUUGGAGCCAUAUUCAAAGGAACUGUGAACUGGAGUGAAGUUGCUGUGAAGGAUGCUUCUGAUGAUAACCUCACUAUGAAAUUACUGUUCUGCUGCUCCCAAGGAAAAUUCAGCUGAAUUAGCUAGCCUCUUGCAACAGAAAAAACAAACAAACAAACCAAAAAGAAAAAUUAGAGCAAGGAGCAUUUGCACUGAGGCUCCGGGGUCUUGAGGCUGCGGUGGGUCCCAAGUGUUUUAGUGUUUAUUUGACAUGAAGGUUACAGCCCCAGAGAGAUGAGUUUACUACUUAGGAUUCUCAUUUCAGUAGCAACAUUUCAUUAGAAACAGUCGUUGACAGUUUCCUUUUGGUGUCCAUGCAUGCGGUACCUGUGUCUCUGUGUGUGCCUGCACAUGUGUAAGCACGUGCAGGCGCACACAGACAUUCAUGCAUGGCUCACAUUUGUGUGGAGAUGCAUGUGUGUGCAGACCAUAGAAGAACUCUGAGGGUCAUUCCUUAGGCACUAUCCACCUUUUAAAAAUUAUUUAUUUGUUCUGCUUACAUGUGCAUGCUUAGACACUGCGGUAGUCACAGCACAACUUCAGAGUCAACUCUCUGCUAAUCCCCCUUGAUGGGGCCUGAGAAUUGAGCUCUGGUCAUCAGGCUUCCGAGGUAAGUGUCUUUAACCUGCUGAGCACUCUAUCCAGCUCCCUUUCAAAUCAUUUCCAGGCACACCUCCCUCUCACCCAGUACUCAGCAGCUAAGCCAGGAUUGAUUGCUGGGUGAUGAGGCUUGCAGAGUUGCCUUCCUUCUUAUGGGACUACAGAUCUGGGACUGACAGACACCAUGACUGUUUUUGUUCAGUGUGUAUUCAUUCUAGGGAUCAAACUCAGGUGCUUAUGCUUGAAUAGCAACUCCUCACACUGAACCAUAUUCCCAGCUCUUCCUUCAAUUUUGCAGUUCUGGGACUUGAACACAAGUCCUCAUGAAGGUUAGCUAAGUAAGUCCUUCAUGAAUGAGCAACACCUAUAGGCACAGUAAUUCUUACAUUACACCUUCCAGGUACUUGUGAAGUCAGGAACAAGGCAGAAAACACUUGCAGCAGUGGUCUUGGAAAACACAAUCCCUCAGUCUUCAUUUUCUAAGCUGUAGAUUGACAUGGUAGUGCUGACUUUUUAGGGUUGUCAUGAGAAUUAACCAAGGCCAUGUGUUGUUCCUGCCAUGUAACGAUCUUGUGGUAGAACUCCUUUAUGUAAGGACUUUGUUGUUUUAUUUCAUUUUAUUCUCUCUCUCUGUGUGCAUGUAUGUGUACGUAUAUGUUUACAUGCUACAUGUGAAUAUGUAUGUCUACGUAUGGUCAGUGUGUAUGUAAAUAAUCUAUGUUUAUGCUGUAUAUGAAAUUGUGUGUCUGCAUGUUCCUGAUGUGUAUGUAUGUCUGCAUUUGUGCAUUAUGUGUGUGUUUGUACAUGUUUGUGUGUGAUGUGUGUGUCUGUGUAUGGUUUAUGUGUAUGAUGUGUGUAUGUGCAUGAUGUGUGUGAUUGUAUAUGUGUAUAAAUAUGUGUAUGUGACGUGUUUGUCUGUGUAUGGUAUGUGUGUAUGAUGUGUGUAUGUGCAUGAUAUAUGUGCUUGUGUGUGUCUGUAUGGUGUGUUUAUAUGCAUAUGGUGUGUGCAUGUUGUGUGUGAGUAUGUGGUGUUUGUAUGGUAUGUGAAUACUGCAUUGAGGCCACUUGUGUGUGCAUGAUAUAUAUGUGGGGUGUGUGUAUGGUAUGUGUGUAGGACAUGUAUGGUAUGUGGUUUUGUAUGAUUUCUGUGUGCACGUAGCAGGGUGCACAUGCAGAGAUUGGGAAGAGAUCCUUCCAGUACCAGUUCUCUCUUUUUACAUGGGUUCCUGGAACUGAAGUCGGAUUUCAAGGCAAGGGAUUUAUUUACCUUUCGAGCCUUCUCUGGCCCUCUUUAUAAGUACUUUUUAAGUGGAGGGUUUUCCAAAUUACUGUUUUGGGUUUUUUCCCCUUUGUUUUUCUUAUCUUUUUGUAGGGGAAUUCGGUGGGGAAAAUUAUGUAGCUUUCUUGUUUUUUAACUUUUCCAAACAUCCAUAUUGUUCUUCAGAUAUUGCCAUAAGCUGAAUGGGCUUCAGGACUUGUUCCAUUCGAUGAGGUUUUGAGCAUAAGAUGUGUUUUCAAUUACUCCUGUGGAAGGUUCUUCUGAAUACUUUGAAGACCCUGGGAUUGAACUCUUGCUUUGAUAGAUUUUAUUUUAUUUUUGAGGUAGAUUUUGGCACACACCAAUCUCCUUUGCCUGGAAGAUUCUGUGAUCUCUACAUAGUUUUCUUACAUCUGUUAUAGUAAUAUUAAUAUUAGUCACUGGAAAUGAUAUCAGAGGAAUAAUAUCUUUACAGUGUGAAAUAUUUCUGCUCUCUUCAUUCCCUCCAGGAUGUUCACAUUGGGUGUGACAGAGUGUUCUACCUGGCAUGCAAGAAUGGCAUGGUGCAACUGCAUUACUAAAAUGAACAAAUGUACAUUUAGUUAACAUGAGAUUUCUUAAACUGUCACUUCAUAGAGCAAAGAGGUUAUGGCCGGAAGAUCUGAGUAAGGAUGGGUACCGUUUUUUGUUGUUGUUUGUGUUGUUAGGGUUGUUGUUGUUGUUGUCGUCGUCGUCGUCGUUGCUCUGUGUGUUUUUGGUGUCAGGGGAAGGCUGUUGUGUUCUCACUGGGGAGGAGGGUGUUAUCUAGAACUCAGUUAGAUAGUAUGUCGAACGUUUUUGUUGAUGAGGAAUUUCAUUUGGGUUGGAAGGACCACAGGAAUGGAAACUGAGUGUGAGUGGUAGGAGAGCUUGCCCUAGUCUGGGCUGCAUCCUGGGAGAGGGAUGGGAGCGUGGAAAUUGCUUCAGAAAAGGAUGGAAAUAUUGUAUCUGUAGCCAGGAAGCAGAGAAAGAUGGGUGUUGUUUCUAAGCUUUCUUUCUUCUUUGUAUGCAGUGCAAGCCUGAGCCCAGGGAAUGGUGGUGUCUAUAUUUAGGGUGGGUCUUCCCUCCUUAAUUAAUCUAAUCAAGAUACUUUAUCAGAGACAUGCCUGGUGACUGUUUCCUGGAUGGUUAUAGAGAGCAUCACAGCUGGUCCCUGGAUGCUUUAACAUGGAAUGGUGUGUGUUGAGUUGGUGCAGAGGUGACAGUUGUUGAUCAAGAACUUUGGAUUUAGCUGGAGCUUUUAAUUUUUGGAGCUAGAGUCCACAGAAACAGUACGUGUGCAAUUUACCACAUGUCAGUGAAGACAGCGAGGAUAGAGAAUAACUAGAUAUAUGAAAAUGGGUUGAAGAAAAGUGCUUAGGAGUCCUUGAAGACUACAUAUGAAGGAGGAUACACUAUGCCAUCAUGAAAACAUUAGGCAUUCUCUUAACUCUGCAGUACAGGGGUGAAUUUGGAAUACCCCAAGCACAUCAGUGUCCCCAUGGGAAUGGGGAAAAAGUAACAUACAACCAAACAUUGGAGGACAGAAUCAGUGGCCUUACUCCUCCAGAGAAUGUGUCCUUAAGGAAGACUGAGCAUUGAACUUUGUCCCCCGGGAAGGAAUCACCUCAUUUCUUAUUUUGUUAUCAUUUUGGUAAGGCUGAAUAGACAAACCCCUUGUUGUAAAGAUGUCAUUCUGCUGGUUGAUGUUUUACCCUUGUUGGAUGGUAUGUUUGAGAAGCCUUCUGGUUUUCUGUCUGAACAGGAAACUGGAGACCUUGCAGCUGGGCAACUCUGACCUGAUCCUCUUUGUACUGCUCCCCAACCUGUUGAGAGCUCCUCUCCUAGCUGGCACUCUCUCUUUCUCUUUGGGGAGGUUGGGAGGUCAUGACUCUUGUACAGGUUUUGGCAGUGCAACUGAGGGCUUACCUUCAGAACCGGUGUGGAGGAUUCUUGGAAAACGUGUCUCUGGGAAUGUGAGGGCCUUUCCCUUUGGAAGAGUCAGACAGAGGGGGUCUAUAAGGAGGGGCUCUUCAGGGCCUAUGAAGUGGCCUCUUAGUGAUUCUGUGUGGAAGUCUGUAGCCCUGACAAGGGGUUCAUGUGUGGCAGAUUUCAAGCAGCUCAACUCUUCCUUAAUGUACUUUGGGAUCAUAAAUUAUCUUAAAAGGAAGUCUUCGUUGUUUUCUCCUCUGUUAUUUGCCUCUUUUUUAGGGGAUGAGGAAAUUAAAAAGUCUCCAUCUGAAGUGAGUGCUUCGCCAAAAGGUGACACAGAAAAGACAUAGAGCAAGUGCUGAUCUCCAGGUUAAAGUCAGGCUCUCCCAUCACAGCCUCCUCACUUCUUCCCAGACCUCCUCCCCACUGCCUUCUGAUCUCCACAUGUAGACAGCCCUUAUCAUAUGGAAUUUCUCAAAUUUAGUACCUUGGUUCUCUCGUAUCUUGUGAAGUUGAUUGUGGCAACCAUACCAGGAGCCUCCACAGUUGGUUAUUUAAGGAUGGGAUUAUUAGUUCGGUUUUUUAUCUCCUACUUGAACAUUGUUGUGACUGAAAUAAAGCUUUGGCAGCCUCUGGCCCUACCCUGACUGAUGAUGGAUGAUGCAUGCUCUUCAUGUUCCUGAGUUGGAAACUUAGAGGUUUUGACGUUUCUGGGGAGGGUCAAGCCACGCAAAUGACAUACUUGAGGACUACAGCUGCAACAAAUGUAGAAUGUGGGGACUGAAUUCAUGAACUUUUUUUUGAAAAACAAGGAAGGUAAGCAGACUCUUCCAUUUAGAGAAUACAGAGGAGCUACAGAGUUUUUUUUUUCUUGAAGCCAUAUUAAUAUCUGCAUUUCUUUGUCUUAUUACCCAAACCUCAAAGCUGUACUUUAGCAUUACCUGUCAGAAAGGUAAAAGUAACAUUUGAGAUGUUCUAGAACAAGGCAGAAAAAAACACAAGAACACAUUCCUUCCUUGUAUUCAGUUUCGAGGUUCUUGCUGUGUCAGUUUGUCUUGUUUAGCAAAAUGAAGAGGUAAUGAUACCAAUAAGUGAUUUCUUUUUCUUCUUGUCAUCCACCUUCUUUAUAAAGCGAGUAUUCAUAAGAGAAAUGUCUCCCCAGUUCCCUAUUAAGUUGUAAAGCAUAUAUGAUCUAGUGAGAGAAGCCAACUACAGAGUCUAAGACAGUGGAUCAUCCCUUAACUAAUUCUUUGGUGGAAGAAGGUGGUAAUGGCAGAAAAGGUCCCUUUGAAACUCAGUAAAUGAAAUAUCAGGGAGUAAUUGCACAGUCACCCUGGUGUUAAUUCAGACUCCAACUCUCAUUUGGUCUGCUUUGGCUCCCACAGUGUUUCUCUUCAUUCAUUGGCUGCCACUGUGAUGCUACCCUACCCCACUCUGAUGUCCUGGACACUUUCCUUUUUCUGUGGCCUCUGCCACCAUGUCUGUCCCCAGUCACUCUACUAAAAUUCCAGUCCAGGCUGUUUCUCUCUCCUAUAAUUCAGGCUCUUGGGGCCUAGUUUUUUGGCUCUGUCCUGACUGCAGCAUCAAACAUAAUGUGGUUUAGCGUGUACCCAACCCCGAUGAAUUAAUAUUCAGGCGGGUUAGUGAGUGGAGGCCAAAGCCAAAUCAGACAACCAACAGGAGCCAAAUACAUACUGGAAAACCAACAUAGUGGAUGCCGAAGGAUGGAAGGGGUUCCACAGGGAAUCAUAGUCCUCGACCCCCAGGAGGCAGUGCUUGUUGGUUAGGAUUUUCUUGGUGCAGGGAAAUAUGGACACAGCAUCAAAGCACUUAGUAGGAGUGGGGACCCUUAAACACUGUGUAGAGGGCUUAGUGGAGCUGAGCCUGGGAAGGGAGAUUGGGUCAGAGCAGGUGUCCUGGAAUGGCUUGUUUGGUAGAGUUCAGAUGACUGUCUAUUGCAGGGGAUGAGCUGUUGGGUCUGGCUGGCUUCCACCAUUAAUCAUUGCCUGAACUUAAGCAAGCCCCUGGGUCUUUUUCUUCAUCUGCAAUGUGACAAGAUAACUCUCGUUGUAAAGAGAUUGAAAGGGAAAGGGAGUUUGGCUGUGAAAUAAGUAAGGAUGCCUUUUGAUCAGCUGCUUCCUGACUGAGUAUUGCUUGCCAUAGGCAAUGGGUGGAUGCAUAGAUGGAUGGAUGCAUGUCUUGCUGGAGGCACGGAUGUUGGAUUCAUGGAUGCAUGGAUGGAUGCAUGGCUGGAUGGCUGGAUGCAUGCUGGCUGGAUGCAUAAAUGGAUGGAUGGAUGCAUGCAUAGAUGGAUGGAUGCAUGGCUUGCUGGAUGCAUGCUGGAUGGAUGCAUAGAUGGAUGGAUGAAUAGAUGGAUGUAUAGAUGGAUGGAUGCAUGGAUGUUGGAUGCAUGGAUGGAUAGAUGGAUGCAUAGAUGGAUGUAUGGCUUGCUGGAUGCAUGGAUGGAUGGAUGCAUGGAUGGAUGAUGCAUAGAUGGAUGGAUGCAUGGGUGGGUGCAUGCAUGGAUGCUAAUAUGAUAUAUGGAUGUGAAAGCUGUUCAGACACAAAAUAAAAACUGAGGGUAUAGGAAUGAGCAAGUCAAUUUUGUUCCUUGUCCAGAACUCUCAAAAGAGUUUGGACUGGAGAAGCUUACAACCUUACCACUUUUAAAUACACUGUUAUAAUGUUAUUUGUUGAGAAUUUCAUACAUUGAUACAGUAUAUUUCAGUAUAUCCACUUGAAUAAUCCCUUGAAUACAGAGAAGCCUACUCAUGAGUGAGGGGCCACCACUGCAGUAUGGUCCACUCACUAGGGACCAUACCCCUAAACAAAACCCUCCCCGAGCAGUUCUCAAGUGACAGAAUCUUCUCAGCUGCAGGCAGGGGCUUCAGUGCCCUACCACAUCUGUGCGGGAAUGUUGAGUGGUUUGCUCUUCUGCUGGACACCAACUGCACUGAGUUUGUAAGUUCAACGACCAUAUCAUGAGAAUAUGUCAUUGUUUUGAUCCAACUCCUUCCGACCUUUGGCUCUUAAACUCUUUCCACCUCUUUUCUUUCCAAUAUUCCCUGAGCCUUGAGGUAACUUGAUACGGUGGGAGCUUCUGUGGCUGAGCUCUCCACAGAGAGUUCAUUCUCAAUACUCGGACUAGUUACGAAUGUGUAUUAACUACCAUCCACUGUAUGAAGAUGCUCCCCCAAUGACCACUGAGAGCUGUGUUAAUCUUUGAGCUUGUAACUGGUAUAGUUGGAUACUAUAUAUCCAUUUAAGAAAAUAGUAGUUAUGGUUCACUCCCAGGGCUUAUGAGCCUCUCUGCCAUGGUUUCCUGUCCAGAUUUACAAUGCCAGGCAAAAGUUUCCUCUUGUAGUGCAGACCUUGAAUCCACCCAGAAAAUGAUUGGUGAUCCUCAAUGCAUUCCUGCCAUUUAUGGAGCACCCAUGAGUACAUCUUGCCAGGGCUUUUGUUAUGUAGCCCUGAGUAGUCACAGUGGAGUGAGAAUAGUCUGCAUAGCAACUUCUAGCAUCAUAAAGCUAGCAGGGGUGGAAGCUUCCUGCUAAGUACUGUGCAGGCAGGUCUGUGUGAUUUCUUCAAGUUCUUUGACCUACUUGUGUGGUGUCAUCAGCUAUAGGAUCUUACCAUCACAUUCUGAUGGGUAGCCCUGAGCAAUGAGAAUUGACAACUCUGGUAUCAUCUCUGUGACAUCCUCGACCAACAACUUGAGAGCAAGGUGUCCUACAUCUAGCUCUGGACUUUGUAGCCAAUGGAAGGAGAAUUACUCACCUUGUAACAUUCAUUGUGAACACGUUCCCGGCCGUUCUGGCAUCCGAAGAAUGUGAUUCCUAUGCCCUCUUUCUCUAUCCUCCCAAUGGUCUUCAGUUUUUGGAACUCACCCCAAAGAAUCCUACAGUGUCCAGCCGCAGCUUCCUGCUAAGGUGGGAUUCUGCCAAGGGGAAGCAGAUGAUGUGAAGAGAAAAGCCCUGUAUUUCAGCCUGACUAACAGUGAGCAGUCGGUGAAGAAUCUCUACCAGUGAAUAAUGUGGAGUGUGUGACUGUGCUAUGCACUGGAAGGACAUUUAGGAGGGACACUAUCUCUAGUGGCCAGAAACCAUUUGAUAAUAACCUCUGGUGGGUUCUAAGAAAGGCGCUGGUUGAAAACCAAGAGCUAAGCUGGACCUCUGGAGCUUCAGGCUGUCCAAGAUUUAAAAGAUUCUUUCUUUAUCCUGCACUAUCGGUCAGGCAUAGAAACCAGAAACAGCAGUGAUUAUAUGUUUUUGCAGAACUACUGGGGCUUGCUGUGAAAAUAUUGUUCUUGGGGCUACAUAAAAAUAUCCAGUCAUAACUAACUGCCUCAGUGGACGCUUUUCUGGAGAGGAGGCAUCAUGAUUCAGUCUUUCAAACAGACAAAGCAACCCGGGGAUUCCUGGGGCGUCGGCUUUUCACAUCAGCAGCAGGCUGGCCCUGGACAAUGUCUGGCCAGCCACGGUCAGAGGUGACCAUUCCACAGCCUGCUCCUCAGCGCUGGUGCACUCCUUCAACCAUGCUGCAGCCCUGGAGAUCUGUAUUGAGGACAGUUGCAAUUAUCACAAGGAGAUUGGAGAGGAUGUAGAAUACCCACCAAUUGAACCGGGGAAGGCCCUGGAAGACCACAGCAGAAUCGAUGUAUUUAUGUGUCUUUCAAAUCAAAGGCUAAUUCGAGCUUUGUGGAUGUUGGCACCACGUCUCCAGAUUCUGAUCACGCUUCUCCUUUGCCACACCCAGCACCUGGUAACUGGCCAUCCUACCGGGAAACAGAAUUGACUUCUUGUUCCAUCAAAUCAAACAGGGGCCACCUGUGGGAGAGGUAGAGGUCCUGGAUUUCAAGGACCCAGCAUUGCUUUUGGAACCAGUGGGCACCAGAACCCCAGCUCCUCCACAGGCAGAUGCAGCUUUCCUAACUCCAGGCAGGAAAGACCUUGGGAACAGAAACCCCAGGUCCUAUCCAGAGAAUCUCUGCCUACCAUGAGGAGGUGUUGUUGGAGGACAAAAUCUGAAAAUCAUGGCUGGGAAAAAGGAUGUGUUUCAAUGAAUAAAGGAUGAGCACCUGGCUGCCUUGUUCCAGAAGCUGGAGGAACCUGUUUGUUCUGUUAAGCAGGAGUAUGGGACACUGCAAUAUUUAGAGGAAUUGCUACUAUAUUAACGGUUAGAGAUGUUGAGUGCUUUUUACUGGUUUUGUGCCCAAUUUUAUCAUGAACUUUUUAAGAUUAAGAAAAUUUUGUUUUAAUCUUCAAUUACUUAUAGUCUGACUUAUUUGCUUUUCUGUGGCUAUAAUGAAAUACCAUGACCAAGUCAGUUUAUGGAAGAGUUUAUUUUGGUUGGGCUUCCAUGAGACCAUCAUGGCAGGACGCUGAGAGAGCACAUGUUAAACCCCAAAUAUGAAGCAGAAUGUGUGAACAGGAAUUGGGGCUAGUCAAUAUAUACUAGCCUCAGAGCUAGCCCCUAGCAAGGUAUAGCCUGUAAGGUCACCACCAGGUUUCAGACAUUUGAGCCUAUGGGAGAUAUACUCAUUCAAACCACAUUUCCCUCCCAGGCUCCAAAGGCCAUUGUUAUACUAUGAAGUAUAUUUAAUCCUACUUCAGAAGUCCCCAUGGUCUCCCACAGUCUCGAUAAAACCCUGUGAAUUUGAAAAGUGAAUUAAUUUCAACAUACAAUGGAAAACGUAUAUAUUACUAUUUCCUAAAAGGAGGAAUGGGGGCAUAUUCAGAAAACGCUGGACCAAGAAAGACUGAUAAGGCAGCAUGUAAACAUCAAGUCCCCUAGGUCAGACUUCCCACCUGUGGGUCAUGGCCCAUUUACAGGGGCUCCCUAAGUCCAUCUGUAAACAUAUAUUUACAUUAUGAUUCAUGACAGUAGCAAAAUUACAGUUGUGAAGUAGCAACAAAGAUAAUUGUAUGGUUGGGGUUCACCACAACACAAGGAAUUGCAUUAAAGGGUCACAGCUAUAGGAAGGUUGAGAACCAGGGCUCUAGCUUAAUAUCUGAUAUCAGAGGCUUAGAUGGCACCAUCCCUCCAUCUUUCUGCCUGUAAAAUAUAUCUCUUCCAGGCUGGUUCUAUCCCAUGUAAGCAACUCUCCCUGGCAGAAAUCACAGCUUUGGCGCUUCCAACACCUUGGAGUCUGUACAAGUAUCCCAGGCUUCACUUCAUCUCUCAGGGUCUUCAUGCAGGAACUCAGGAUUAGGGUUGACUCUGAGGUCCUUUGGGUUGCAUGCUUGUGUUUUCCUAGAGAAAGAUUUGGUUUUUUUUUGCUUGAGAAAGGGUACAUACAUAGCAGAGAACAUUUUUAGAUUUGACAAAGAAGGUCAGGAAAGGGCCAUAAUUGUCAGUCUAGAAAGGGUAUCACCGAGUUACCCCUUUGUGUUGGUUGCCUCUUCUACCAGCUCUAUCUACUCUUGCUGGGUCUUGUCUCUGGAAUGAAUAAGUAGUUUGUCUUGUGGGUUGGUGAAGAUAUCUGGAAAUUUUAAUUUUUAUAUAGUUUUAGCUAUGAACUCCCUGUCUGAAGACUUAUCUGCUGUGGUGAUUUGAAUAGGAAUGACCACCAUAGGCUCAUAUGCUUGAAUGCUUGUCGUAUAAGGAGUGGCACUAUUAGGAGGUUGGGCCUUGUUGGAGUAUGUGUGGCCAUGUUGGAGGAAGUGGGUCACUGGGAAAGUGGGCUGUGAGGUCUUUAUAUUCAAGCUAUGACCAGUGUCGACACAGUCUCCUGCUCCUGCCUUCAGAUGAAGAUGUAGAAAUCUCAGCCCCUUCUCCAGCACGAUGCCUCCCUGAAUGCUGCUGUGCUUCCCACCAUGGCGAUAAUGGACGAAAUUUCUGAGAGUGUAAGCCAGCCCAAUGUCAGUUUUCCUUAUCAAAGUUGACUCAGUAACAGUGUCUCUUCACAGCAAUAAAACUGUAAGAUACCUACUCACCUACUUUUUUUGCCCAGUGAGAUUGUUCCAUCUGUUUCUGGCCCCCAAUUAUUUAUUUAAUUAAUUUUAUUUUAUUUUUUUAUACCAAAUAAUUUCUUUCUGAGUUUUCAUUUACCCAAUCUAGAUUUAUUCCUUUCUGAUCAUUUUAGUACUUGUCUUUCUUUAUUGAGUAUUACUACCCAAAUUUUUCUUAAUUUUGAGUCUUCUUGAUGGUCAUAGUUGUGUACGUUUGCCCCCAAAUGACAGCAAAUUGCUGUCAAUAUGUAUGUCAGUGUCAUUUUUUUAACCCAUGCAGUUGACUGAUUCAUAUUUGUCAUUUAAGGUCUCUUCAUAUAUCACUGUGCUUGAUUGCCUGGUUGUCUUCAUACUGGUUUAGAUGAAUUCACCUUGUUUCUCUGGGUCCAUGGCUAAUCAAUUAAUUAAUUAACUAAUCAAUUAACAUGAGUACACUGUAGCGGUCUUCAGACACAUCAGGGUAGGGCAUCAGAUCCCAUUACAGAUGGUUGUGAGUCACCAUGUGGUUUUUGGGAAUUGAACUCAGGACCUCUUACCCACUGAGCUAUCUCUCCUGCCCAGGUCCAUGCCUCUUAAGGUAUGUGCAAUAUUAGCCCUCUUUAGUCCUUACUAUAGUUCCUUGUUAUAUAGACACAAGGUAAAGCUACAUUUUCAUUACUGUAUUAAUUGUACUGUUGUUGUCUCUGUGAUGACUGAAUCUAUUUUAUUUAUUCGUUGAGUUAAAGUUAAGUACUAAUCAAUCAAGAUAUUUGAUUAACGAGAGCAGAUCAUACUGUUUAUAAUUACAAGUUUGUGUCCUAGAUCAGGGCUGGUGUGGUACCUCUGGUUGCCUAGGUUUGCUUGGGGCUUGGGCAGGGAGCCUCUCAGUACACCCUUUAGACUCAUGCUUAAUUAACACCCUGAAGCAGCUUUAGAGUGAAGCCCUAGUUGUUAAUAUUCAGUGGAGGGGGGUGGAUUUCUGUAUCAGGUUACUUUGGUUUUAAGCCACACAUGGGUUUGUCAAUUUGUUACUAAAAUUUCCAACACUAACAGCCCAUGUAAAAGACACACAAUCCAAAUAUUUUAAUUAUAAGUUAUAUGCCUAGAUUGGGCAUAUCUAAUACAAUACUAGCUUAUUUCCCAAUUCUAAGACUCCUUAUUACUUCUGGUUUCUCCCAGCCACAUGAUUCUGGUGCAUAGUGGCUUCCUUCUCUCCUCUUCAUUCAUUCUUUUUCUCCUUCUACCUGCCACCCCCUCCUGAGCCUCAAGUCCCACCUUUCCUAUCCAGUACCCAAUCAUAGACUCUAACCUUUUAUUGACCUAUUAAAGUGGAGAGAAGGUUCACAUAGCAUCACCUAAGUACAUGAUGCUCUGCUUGUGGGGUGGGGGCAACCCCUCUUGAGGAACCAAUAUGAACAAUAAUAUACAAGCAGCAUCAAGCCAAACCACUACAGUUUACUCGUAAGAUCUCAGUUUUUAGUACAAAAUCCUAUUGGAUUAUUAUGUUAGUUUUUUAAAUGUGUAUCUUACUAUAUUUCUUACACAGCUGUUUUCCAAAUGUGGGUUUGUCUGGUGUUGUGUACCAGCAUAGAGUAUUCAUAGUUAACAGUGUAUUUUCUUGCCACCAAUACAUGAAUGUUUGUUGGAUAUCCUAAAGGGUCAUAAUGGUUUUACACAGGAAAGCUAAUUGUCAGAAUUUUGUUUUGUUUUUGAGUCAGGGUUUUCUGUAUAGCCCUGGCUGUCCUGGAACUCACUUUGUAGACCAGGCUGCCUUCAGACUUACACAGAUGUGCCUACCCUCUGUCUCUGAAUGCUAGGGUUUAAGUCCUGUGCCCAGCUUGAUAUUUUUCUUUGUCAUUCUCUCUCUCCCUCUCUCUCUCUCUCUCUCUCUCUUUUUUUCUUUUGCCCCAGUCAAUGGAUUAUAUUUGGUCACAGGGUCACAGGCCAGGUAUGGCUCCAGCCUUAUUUGACCUUCUUCUUUGGGGCUCAGGUUGUUGGAGUGGCUGAACUUCUUGUAGCAGUUGACUACGCUGUGUGCAGACAUGAGUAGCACUUGUGGCAGAUCAUCUUGUCACAAUUGUAAUUCUGGACGAGGUGAUAAAGGGAUGACUCGAUGAUGCCACUGUGCAGAUGCAGCACCAGGUGGAAGGUUGACUCUUUCUGGAUGUUGUAGUUGGACAGGGUGUGGCCAUCCUCCAACUGUUUGCCAGCGAAUAUCAGCUCUGCUGGUCGGUGGGAUGCCUUACUUGUCUUGGAUCAUUAUUGAUGGUGUCACAGGGCUCAAUCUCAAGAGUAAUGGUCUUGCCCAUUAGGGUCCUCAUUAAGAUCUCCACGUUGGCAUCUGCUACUUGGCCACCUUGUUGAAGAGAAAGAGUGGUUUGGGGUUUUUGGGUUUUUUUGUUUGUUUGUUUUGUUUUUUCUUUUAAUACUUAGAUCAUUUUGUUCACUUCUCGGUGUUUGUUGAGGGCUGCUAUAAUUUGCAUUUUAAAUAUAUUUACCUGGAUCCUCAGUGCUUGCUCUGUUCUUUAUGUUAAACAGGCAGGUGUACUUUGAUUUGGGACUGAAUAGACUUUUUUUUAAUUGUUUCCAGUCUGUGUUCUUCUUUCACUGGCCUUUUAUGAGUCAGUUUUUCACAGAAUUGGCUGACACAAUGCAGGAAAGAUUCGGCCACAGCUUGAGAUAGGUAGAAAUGGGUGGCAGUUUUAGGACCUGUACUAUCAUAUUUUGGAACACCAGGGGGAUUAUUAGAAGUACUAUUAUUAUAACGUAGUGUUAUCCUAAUAGUUGGGUUAUAAUAAUCCUUAUUAACAAUCUCUGGUUAUUCUAAGUCAGUAAUUUUCCUUAUGAGAAAAUAUUUGCUUUCAUCUCCAUAAAUAUAAUAGUAAUGCGGCAGAACUAGUAAGAGCUAAUAAUGAAAUAAGAGCUAAUAAUGUGUAUAUAGACUGUUUUUUUGUGAACUAUUUUUUGAAAUAUGUCGAAUUAUAACAGCAGUAUUGUUGGUAUCAGGAAUUGCCUUGAGCAGCAACACCAUUUGGUAACUGUUGACAUGGAAACAGCCCUACUUUCCCAGUAUUCCUUUGGUCCAAAUCCCAACUCCAUGUGGGAGUAGUUAUGUCAGAUUCCAAAUGAAAGGCAGACUUCUUCUGCCCUCAUGCUCUCUCUUCUCUUCAUUCUUUUCUCUUCUUUCUCUUGCCCCUUUCCCUUGUCUUGUUCUCCCAUUAAAUCUCACCAAGUGGAACUGUGUUAGUUUUGUGUGCUCUAUUUGGAUGGGUGUGGUGGGUACUUUAUUACAACGAGAUUUUAAUAACAACAAGUAUGAUAAUUUAAGAGCUUGGAAAUCAGACUGACUGGAAAUAAAUUCCAAUUUGGGCACUCACCAGCUGUUGAACUUAUAUUACUAAUAUAAAAGUUGUGGGUGAUAGUAAUUUUUCCCUAUAGUGUUGUGAGAAUUAAUCUAACUCCUUGUGUUUUAUUACUUAUCAAGAACAUUGAGUAGUAGUAGCCAUUGUAAUUGUUUCAUUAAAUAAAAUUUGUAGAGUUGUGCAGAAUGGAGUUUAUUAAAGCUAAAUAGGUGAAACUACAUAUAACUAAGAUGUAUAAUAAGAUUAUCUUAUAAAAUUAUAAUCUUAAAGGAAGAAGGUUAGAUUGUAGAAUAGGAAAUGAUGCUAUGCUAUUGUUAGAAGUGAUAUAACAUUCUAUCAGAAAACUGAAGAAAUGGAAAUUCAUCUAUGAAGGUGGUGUACAGUCCAUAAUAUAUUCUACAUUAUGUUAAAAUUAUUCUUAAAUGUGAUUUUUAAAAAAUAACUAAAUAUGAUUUUAAUGAGACGAAUUAGUUUGGGUUUGAAUGCUCUUUUUUUCUAUUUAGGCAAUAUGUCAGUAUUGAGGGCACCUAGACAUCAGAGCUCUGGAAGGCAUGUUGAUGCUGUUUUCUUCUUUGUCUCCUGGGUGUAAGAAGUAUAACAGAUCUUAAAGAUCUGUAUUUUUGUUUGUUUAAAAAAAUUGAUACAUGAGCGAGAGAGAGAGAGAGAGAGAGAGAGAGAGAGAGAGAGAGAGAAGAGGGGGGAGUGUCUGUGUGUCUGUGUGUCUGUGUCUGUGUGUGUGUGUGUGUGUAUCUGAAAUGAUAACAAUAUAUUCUUCGGAAAGUAUUUUGUUUUUUCUCAAUUAAAUUUAUUCAUUUGUUCAAAUUGGCUACCCUUUAUUAUCACAAGUAUAGGGAAAUUAGAAUAGUACUACUUUAGUGUACGUUGAAAUAUACAGAGAAGUGUAUCUUAAAGUGAGGACUUUGUUAUCUCACAUAGAUGAGAGUUUCUGGAUGUUUUCUAUAUCUUUUUAUUGCUCAUUAAGGGAAAUUUUCUGCUAUACUGUGUCUUUAGACUUUCUCUUCUGUUCAAAUAACUCCUCCCUUAAUGUAGGUAAACAUACUAACUUCUGGGUUUUGGAUAAUUCUAUAUCAUUGAGUUGAGUCAACUGGGCAGUCUGUUUUGCAAAUGAAAUUUCAGGUUUAUGUGUGUACUACUUAUUAGUAUUAGAAGCAUUUAUUUAGCAUUUUUCUUUAGUUCUUUCUGGACAAGAUAGCUACAUUUGCAGUUUCGUUUGAAAGUCAGUUUUUCUCUUAUGUGAAAAUACUAGAAAUUUCUAGAUUCCCAACAAGGCUUUAUUUUUGUUCUAGGUAGUUUUGACUCAGCUCUGAAAGGGAUUUUUUUGAAUGUAAAGGAAUUGAUUUUAGGCUAGGGAUACUUACCUUCUGGUCCUUUGUUCUUUUGUCUGGCUUAUGUAGUGAGGCAGGAGAGCUUGUGUGUUAUAUGUCUCUUUGUUCUGAGCCCCCUGCUCUCUAAAUCUAUUUAUACCUACUUAUACCAGAAUUACAAAAGUCUGAUUGUAGUUUUUUGUCUCAUUUUCUUCUCCUACAAUCUGAACCUGGUAUCCGAGUUGCCUGUUCUUCUUUGUAAGAAAUCAAAGGCCACAGAAAACUGACUCUCCUGCUGUUAGAUUGAGUCAGUUCAUCAGAGCCAUGUUUGGUGGAGCAAGCUUUUAAUCGUAGCAGGUGAACCUCUAUGAGUUCCCAGCCAGCCUGGUCUACAUAGAACACCUUUUCAUCCUGAUGCUAACACCCAGCUGGAGUGGCAUUAUUGCCAGAAUAAACUGAAAGGAAAAGCAGGUGCACAUAAGUUCUUUAAAGCAAUAGUCCUCCCAUGGAUGGUCUCUGAAUGAUGGUGUUGGUGUUGGUGCGUUAGAAGUAAAAGUAGAAUUGGAAUAAUUAGCUCUUUGAAGGCUUUAAGAAUGCUAGUGACUGUAGAGAGAGUAUCUUGUGUAUUUGUAUGGAUAUAUCACCUUUCAGUUAAAAAAAUUAUGGCCUAUAGGAAAGGGUAGAAUAUAAGGUGGGACAUCCAGGAGGCAGAAAGAAUUCUGGGACAGAGCCAGGUCGAAGAGAUAUGCCCUAGAAAAUGUGAACAGACAGACUCGUGGUUCCUGAGUACAGGUAAUAAGCCACAGGGUGGUAUGUAGAUUUGAGUAAGUGGGUUAGAAUUUGUCAGAGAAGAGUCUAACUCUAUGGCCAAGGUAUUUGUUAAUAUAUUUUGAGUCUCCGUCUUAUUUCUGGGAGCAUGGGGCUGAGAGGAAGAACCAGGUCCAAACUUCUACAAGUGACAACAUGAAUCCAAACAAAAUCUAAAGCUGAGGAUUGACCAGUGUAUAGUUUUGGUUUCUGGAACUGGAGGAUGAUGUUCACCUGGAACUCAAUUCCAACAUAGGUUGGGAGUGAAAGCAUGAUUUUUUUCAUAUUAAAAAGAGGAGCUAUUACUUAUGUGGCUUAUGUCACUGUGCAAACACUGAAGUUUAUGUUUUUCAGUAUUUUUUAGAACUUAAAAGCAGACACCAUGGUACCUAACCUCGGCUUUCAGGAGAUGACACCAAGAGAACAGAACUUUCAAGGGAAGGCUACGGAGCAGGGAACCCCGACUCAAGGAAGGACACACGACUAUUGUAACCAGAGUCUAAAUGCCUCAUUUGAGUUAGCUGGUUUCGUAGAAGAAAUAUUUCCAUAACUGUCUUGGAAAAUUAGUCUCUUUACAAUCACAAGAUCUUCAUUUGUUUUACUACCCUGCAUUACAGUUCCAAAGAAAUUGGCAAGUCUUUCCCAUUGUUUUCCUUGUAGAAUAAAUUGUAAAACCACAAAUAUUAAAAAAAAAUCAUUGUUUUAGGAACACAUAAAUGAGAAGAAAGACAUAUAGCACAGUAGAAAGGAUCUAGAUUUUGGUUAUAUCCCAGUUACUUCUGUUUCCUGUUUUGUCAAUUUAAAAAAAAAAACAAUGGUUAUUUUAGAAACGACCCUGUUGAGGCAAAACAGAAUCUGGCCAUCUGGAUUUCUUUUCAGGAAUUAGUCUUUCUUAGUUGCCAUCAUUUGCUUACACGGUGCACAGGGGAGGGUGAUUGUAGACACACAUUUAUAAUUUAUAUGUGUAUCAGUUUUUCAAGUUUUCUAGGGUUCUUAUUAGCUGUUAAAUGUUUUCAGAAAAUUUUGAGAUUAGUGAUUUGUGUCAGUAGAUCUUGGGAUAACUUCCUGAGCUUGUUCAGUCUUUGUUUCAUUGCUUGUGGUCAGUUUCUUCAGCAUACUUGUGUACCAUGUUGCUUUUUCUUUCUGAAUUUCCUACUUCGUAUUAUUAAAUACAUAAAAAUUUAACCAAGGGACGUGUAACUGAAGGAAGUACACAGUACGUGCCCCAUGCUGAAAACUAAGAAACUACUGAGUGAACAUCUGUCAAAAUGAGGGAAAAAACUGUUGUGCAUGUUUGGUGGUGUUUCUAAGUUCCUUUGUUGCUCAGUCUGGUGGGUAGACACCAAGUCAGCUGCUUGUUUUAGUAGUCUGCAUCUAGAUUUUGACCUGGGAAGGUGCUUGUUCUUUGAAAAUAGCAGGAAACUAAUCUUCUUUUGUCUUGUUUUUCCAUCACUGGCUGGCCAAGCAUGGUUUGGCAGCAGAAUAUUUUCUUUGCUUACUUAAUUAGCUGCAUCUUAUUAGCCACUGGGUUUUUAAAAUAUUUAACAUCCUUUUAUAAUUCAUAUCUUUUUCAUUUCUUUUGGAUGGGCCACCAGAAGUCAAAUAUUAGAGGAAAUGUUUAAGUUGCACAAAAUGAAAUAUUGUUUUCCUUUAAAAAAGUGGUCAUAAUACCUUGAUACUAUAUUCUUGUUUUAACUUUAUGACAUUCAUUUUUGUAUCUUAAGGUCUUUGACCCAUUUGGAGCCUGUAAAAGUAUUUGCUAGGUAUAAAAUGACUAGAUUGUCUUUUACUAAAUUUACAACCAAACCUGUGCCUAAAACUCCUUUUCCAAUGCCUUUCUUCUACUUUUUUCCAAUAUCACAUUCUCUGAGUCAUUAUUAGACAUUGCACAAAAAUUGAACGUACUAAGAGUCAUUUAAGAAGUUAGUAUCUUUGACUUCUACACAUUAGCUCUAUAAAAAUUAGGUCUAAUAUUGACUUGUAUUGUUAGAUGAAGCAUCUUUCGUGUUUUUUGGAAACUGAUUUCUUGUUCCUUAUAUUAAGAAAUUAGGUCAAUGUAACCAGAGCAUUUGAUCCAUCUGUGACUUCCUUUGUGUGCUGUUUCCUGAAUCAUCUCUUUGAUGAUUCUGUUUAGAGCUAUUUAAUCUCUGCACAUGUUUGGGGCCUUUUACAAACCCUUCCUGGAUUCUGAGAAUGCAGAUGUUUUCUACCCUGUUAGCAACUUUACUUUUCAUUCUACAGGAGCAACAAUUUAAAUUCUAUUAGUCACAGACUGACUCUCAGUGAUUACUCUUUCACAAUUUGGUUGUCCUGGUCUCUGAUAUCUCCAACUAUUCUUCCACAUUCUUUCUCCAUGUGCUUGUCUAGUUUGCCCUCCAGUGAGGACCGUGUAUCCUUUCAUUUCCACGAAUCUCACAUAGAGUAGCUCACUCUGCUUGUGGAGAGACCCAUGCAAUCUGCUGCACUGUGGAGCAUGUCAGCUAGCCCAGUGAAGAGGAACACUCUGGUGUUGCCUCUCAGGCCAUGGCAGUGGGGGUGCAUGGCCCACACUCAGUAGUCAAAGAUGAACUUUGCAUUAUUUCCAAGUGAGAGUCUUAUUUUAAAAGUCUAUAAAAUAUAAAGGUUAUGUAACUUCCUUUUAAAGCUUAACUCAUGGUUGUAACUUUGGAAUAUAAUAUAUCAUGGCUGUUGUCUUUGCUUAGUGGCAUUUUCUGUUGGUUUGUUAUAGAAGACCCUUAAAUUCUUGCAGAUUAAAUAGUGGACUGUGGUGAAAACACUGGAUAAUCUGCUCAGCUUGUCUUGAGUUUGUAAGAAUGGGACAUGUACUUACAUUUUACCAGAAGCCAUAGCUAUGGGUGCUUGGAUCUGAAAAUAUCUGUAUGGGCUGUAUAUUAGGUAAAGAUGUUGAUGGUUAUUGGUCAGAUAAGGAAAAGUUAUUGGUGGGGUUGGUGUGGUGCUGCUUGUAUUUAAAUGCUCCCUACAUACUGGCUCCCAAGAUCUGGAAGCCGUGAGGAGCAGGUCCUCAGGUACCCCAAGUGAUGCUUUGUAAAGUUUGCUUCUUAGUUUAACUCAUCAAAAAUGGAUAGAGUCUGUGAUUAGGCAAUAGAAGAAGAAAGGUGGGACUUGAGGAUGGAGUGGAGGGUCUCAAGAGGGAGGAGAAGGGGGAACAAGAGAGGAGACCAAGGGAGGAGGAAGCCACCAUGUGAGGAGAUGGACACUGAGCAUAUGGCCUGGAAAAACAGCAAGGAACAAGGGACAUUAUGGCAUGGAAAUAGGUUAGUAUAGCUGUAAACCUGCCCAAUUAGGCUUAUGACCUGUAAAUAAAGUACCUGGAUUGUGUGUCUUUUAUUUGAACUAGUUAGAGUGUUUAAUUCCUUUUAUAAUUGGUGCCCUUGACCCUGAGAUUAAGUCUCAUGCUCUAUUGAAAUGAAGUUAGAUAUUAUACUGUGUAUUUCUGGUGGUGCAAUAACUUUGCUGUUUUUCAUAGAGCAUUGAGGUGUUUCAAUAUGUGUGAAAAAAGAGGCACUGGGUAGUAUUUUUAACUAUGUGCUAUUGCAGUGUACACAGAAUAGCUUUGUUUGGAAUUAGCUAAAGUGAUAGAUUUGGGUCUUGCUUUACUAACAUUGUUGUUUUUAGCAGAAAAAGUUCUAUAACAGCACACAUCAUGCUUAACCUAAUAGUAUUAUCCAGAGCAAUGACCAAUUUCUUUAAUAUACUUAUCCAUUAUUAAUUGACUUCUUUAUGGUUCAGGUGCCGGGCACAUUUAUACAUCUGGGUGAGAUUGCAAAUUUGGUUUGCAUAUUACAAAUGCUGUGAGCUGCAUAGUUCUCCUAAGCAAGGGGGUAGACUUCAUCCUCCUUACCACUUUCACCCUUGCCUACCCCAGGGACUGCCUGACAAGGUAACAGAAUGGAUUACAUUUAUUAAAACAUGAUACCGUGAGUUUACUGUGACGCGUUUUUCUCUGAACACUGCUGAAGAAUAAAAAAACAAUUAUACUAAUUUUUGUACUAAGUAUAGAAAUAAUGGCCAUUCAUGCAGGAGUUUGGAACCUAAAUAUUUGCACCUGAAAAUAAUAGAAACCAUAUUUCCUUAAUAAAAUUUAAGGAAAAUAUAUUUUAACAUAAUGAUUAAAUCUUAUUUUAAUGCAGACCUAAUAUCAGAUUCAUCAGUGAGUAAGAAUCCCGAUUCUACGCAAAGAAAUUGAAUUGAUUCUGUUUUUUUCAAGAGAUGAAAUUGCUUCUUGUGGUUAUGAAAGCAGGUAUGGAGAAGCUAAGUGAGUUCUAUUUCUUAAUGGAUAGUUGAUUUUUUUUUAUAUUUUUAGAAAGAUUAAGCCUCGCAAGUCAGUUCUACAAUUUCCACUUAUGAAAUAUAUAUUACAAAGGAAAUAUUUUAGUCUGAGUCCUUCAUCUAUACUACCAUGUAAAGAAUUUUAAAUAAAAUAAUAGUCCCUAGUGAUCCUCCAGUGAAAACAAAAAUAAUAAUAAUAAUAAUAAUAAUAAUAAUAAUAAUAAUAAUAAUAAUAGUAAUAGGCAUUGUCAUGUUUAGCUUCCUUCAGUUAUAAAAUGACAAGGGAUUGAAAGCUACAUUUUUCUUUUUCUUUUUCUUUUUUUAUUUGAAUGGCAUUGGCGCGGCCUUAUUAGUCAGUCUUUACAAAUAAGAAAAACUCGCCUCACAUCUGUUCAUACCUGUCCUUCUGGGCAGUAUGUCUCUUCACAGACACAGUCACAUACAUUCAAGAAACACACAGAAAAUUAAGCUGAAACUCGAUUUCCUUCUAAAUUAAAAGUAAACGAUUUUCUACCAUUGCUGAUGACCAAUGUUGGCAUCUGUGUGGUGGGUAAAAUGAGGCCGGCAGCCUUUGGGGGUCAGUGCUUAAAGCUAUUGAUCGGGGUGGAUCCAGAUACCUAUGGGGAUGCUGCCACAGGCAGCCAGCGACUAGAGAUGUUACUCAACAGACAGUUUUCUGAGGGAGCAAAGCUUAAGUUACUGGGGGCUUGGCACUCUCUCUGAUUAGCGAAAAACCUAUGAACUCUUAAGUCCUUGGGGUCAAUGAGAAAGACCAGGGAAGAGAGAAAAUUCACACACACACACACACACACACACACACACACGCACGCACGCACGCACGCACGCACGCACGCACACACAGAGUUGAUGGUAGAAGGAACAGUGUUCCAGCCCAUCAUACACAAGCCUUAACAGAUACACAUAGUUGAUGGAUGCCCUAACCCUUGUGCUUUAUUCUUUGUUCCAUCAUUUAUAUAUCCCAGCCAAAUCUUUCAAGCAUCAUUAAAUCGCAAUGUAAUUGUUUUAGUUUUCUUCUAGACAAAGACAGGAGUAAUUAUUUCAUUAUUUAUCCUUAAAAAGUAUUCUUAAAAGACUCACAGAUCUAACCACUUAUAUAAAAAUCAGUCAUAUCUACUUUAAAUCCUCAGAAUGAGUAUCUACUCAAGAGCAAUUCUUAAUAAAUCUCAUCAGGAAGCUGAGGGCAAAAAUGUGUAUAAGAAAUCAAUUGUUAGUGCCAGAGAUGUUGGCCAGUGAGUGAUUUGAGGCACCUUGAAGUUUUCCCAUAAUUCUUAGAUUAUGAGGAACAUGCUGGUAGUGAACAGAGCAGAACUCCAUAACAGCACAACAGCAUCAAGUACUCAGGACACAUAGCUCUCAGGACACAUAGUCCUUGGAGCUGUCACACUGAGUAACACCCACACA